rnacentral:lncRNA from 1 species
AAAAUAAUUAAUAAAAUAUAAAUAAAACAAAUUUUUCUCUUUCUCUCUCAUCUUUCCUCUCUCCUAUCUCCAGCUCCAGAACACUAGCUCCAAAACGCUAGCUCUUAUUUAUCGCUCUUCUUUCCUCAGCAUAACUCCAUAGCUCUUCAUAAAUCGAAUAACUGAAGACCUGAAGAACUGAGCUCCACAACUCAAAUUUUAUAAAGUCGAAUUUCUCAAAGAGAUGAAGAGCUGAAGAUACAGAGGUGGGGAUGGAAGAAAUCAAGAGCGGAAGCUGAAGAAAUCAAGUGUUGAGAUUCCUUUCAAUUCUAGUCAUCUGUACAACCGAUUUGUGAAGGUAAGAACUGAUUCUCUAGUAAUCUGUAGAUCUGCAAAUAGUAAAUUGGUUUAAUGUUCAUUUUGUGUUUAGAAGAAAUUGAUUACUUUUGGGGUUCUUACAGCUGAAAUUUCAAAGUAGGGAAAGAAAGUGUCAAAAAUCUGUAGUCAAGCGCAGUUAGUAGGUUUCUUGCCUAACUUUGUGUAUGGAAGGAGGAAAUGUAUGUGGGAAAUCACAAAGUAUCUUUCAGUUGCCAGGAAAGUGAAUAAUAUGAGUGCAUUAGUGCAAAAAAUGUAAAGGGUGUAUCAGUGUAGAUCCAUAGGUAAAUGUUUGAAAUGUUGUUUUGUUGGAGAAAGAAGGAAAAAGAGGAACAGAGAUCGAAACAAGUAGUAGUAUUAGAGAGAGAGAGAAACUAAAAGAGGUAUAUGUGGUUGCCAAUGAGUUGAUAGUGAGGGAGGAGUUGGCAAGAAAUAUUAAAGUACUAUAAUCAAGAUUGAUACUAAUAGCAUAGUUAAUAUACUAAUUUUAGCCUUUAUUAUAUUAGUAUAUGCAUAUUUUGUAUAGGCAUCUACUUUGAACAUCAAAAGACAAGUAGGCAUCUACUUUGAACAUCAAAAGUUGUAUUCUAAUUUUCUGUAACUGCUGGACUUCUUGCCUUUCUAUAUUGUUGCAAUCUGAACUUCUUAGCUCUUCUAUAUAACUGUCAAUAUCUUAUUUGUGUAGGGAAAUGGGAGUGAUCAAAUUUGAAGUGGAUGAUGACGAGUUUCCGAACUAUUGUAAAAGUUUGAAUACAUUAUAUUUGAUUUUGUGAAAUAUAUUCAUUGCUAGAAUAUAUUGAACUAUUGUAGUACUUUUUGAACUAUUGUGUACACAUUUAGAAUAUUGAUGUAUAAGUAUAGGUAUGUACACAACACAAACUAUAUAUUUUGAAGUUUAUGGGAAAUCUAUAAAAUUGAAUUACUUAUUAGCG